GACGUAGGGCGCGAGCGUUGUCCGGAUUUAUUGGGCGUAAGGAGCUCGUAGGCGGCUUGUCGCGUCGUCCGUGAAAACUUGGGGCUCAACCCCAAGCUUGCGGUCGAUACGGGCAGGCUAGAGUUCGGUAGGGGAGACUGGAAUUCCUGGUGUAGCGGUGAAAUGCGCAGAUAUCAGGAGGAACACCGGUGGCGAAGGCGGGUCUCUGGGCCGAUAUCGACGCUGAGGAGCGAAAGCGUGGGGAGCGAACAGG
rnacentral:rRNA from 1 species